ensembl:misc_RNA Metazoa_SRP Metazoan signal recognition particle RNA
UAGGCACGGUUUGCGUGCCUCUAAUCCAAGUCACUGGGAGGCUGAGGUUGGCGGUUGAUUGAGCUGAGGAGCUCUGCACUGUACCGGACUAUGUUGAACGGGUGUCCAUGCUAAGUUCGCAAUAUCGAUAUGGUGGUUCUGGGGAGCCUUCUCACCAGGUCUCUCUGAGGAGAGGUGUACGGGCUCAGGUCGAAGUUGGAGCAGGUCAAAGCCCCAUUAUGCCGCAGUAGUGGGUUUGCAUUCUGAAUAGAUGUUUGCAGCCUUCAAAACAGCUUGACCUAAGAUUUUU